AUUCUGGGUCCCAGAUCACAGGAGAAUACUGUGUCUCAGCGGACAUGCUCAGAGAGAUUCUGUUGGAAUGGCAGUAUGUAAAUGAGUCAAAUACAGACCCACCACAAAGAAGAUGAUCUGAGAGGGCUAAUGAGAAGUGGGUAAUUUUCAUUCAUUGCUAAAAGAUAGAAAACAAUUGGAAGAGUAUAGAUCAAAGAAGGUGAGCAAAGAAAGCUGAAGACCAGAAUAUAUCCAGCUGCAGCUCAGGAGAAAGAAAAUUAGCCCUGCCGUAUACAGCGGAGACAGUGCGUGAAGAAAUGGCACGUAAAAACACAUGAAGACAAGAGAACUGUGGCUGGAAACUGGGGCCUAAUGGAAGUUCUGUAUAUGGAAUAGGGCUCUUCUACUCCUCUGCUGAACAUGGAAGAGCCUCCAUGUAAGAACUACCCUUCACAACCAGACUGAGGGUUUGUUCUCAAAAGCAACUAAGGAACUGUCUGGGGAGGAAGACAGCAGCCAUGGAAUAUUGCUAGCUGAGAGCACAUCUUUCCUCAUCUGGCCAGAACCCUGCCUACUCACCCAGGGCAACAAUCCCUGCCUAUAUACACUGGGCUCCCAGUCAGCCUGUCUACUGUUUCAUUCCUAAACAUGAAAGGAAAACAAAGGAUUACCAGAUAUUAGGAGGAAAGUCUGAGAUAAUAAAAGAGAGGCCAAGAUAAACAACAGGAACACACGACCUAGAAGGAACACAGAAUUCAGGGAAUAGAAGAAAAAAGAAUUUUUAAAAUAAAAGAACAAAAAUCCUCGAAUUGGUAUUUCUAGCAACAUUUAAGAAAAUAUGCAUAAAACCAGAACAGAAUACUCUGAGAAAGAAUACUUGGAAAUUUACAAAAAUAAUAGUAUAUAAAAAUCCAACAGAAGCACUGGAAGAAGAGGGUAUGGCAAGGUCUCAGAAUAUAACACACACACACACACACACAAAACAAAGAAACCGAAAAUAUGAGAUAAAAGGUAAGAGAUGUGGAAGAUCUACGCAGAGGGUCCAUCAUCCAACAUACAGAUUCUAGAAAGAGAAACAAAGAAACAAG
rnacentral:lncRNA from 1 species